rnacentral:rRNA from 1 species
UACAGAGGAGCCAAGCGUUGUCCGGAUUGACUGGGCGUAAAGCGCACGCAGGCGGAUGCGCGCGUGGGGUGUGAAAUCUGGCCGAUUAACGGCCAGGCGCCAUCCCAUACGGCGCGUCUGGAGUGAUGCAGAGGUCGAUGGAAUUGCCGGUGUAGUGGUGAAAUGCGUAGAGAUCGGCAGGAACACCCAGGGGGAAACCAGUCGACUGGGCAUCUACUGACGCUGAGGUGCGAGAGCGUGGGGAGCGAACCGG